UAUUAAAGUUGUUGCGGUUAAAAAGCUCGUAGUCGAAUUUGUGUCCCGCGCCGCCGGUUCAUCGUACGCGGUGUUAACUGGCGUGCCGCGGGACGUCCUGCCGGUGGGCCUAAGUCUGCAAAGACGUCGGCCCGACCCAAUCCCGCCGCGGUGCUCUUCAUUGAGUGUCGAGGUGGGCCGGCACGUUUACUUUGAACAAAUUAGAGUGCUUAAAGCAGGCUAAAACUUCGCCUGAAUACUGUGUGCAUGGAAUAAUGGAAUAGGACCUCGGUUCUAUUUUGUUGGUUUUCGGAACCCCGAGGUAAUGAUUAAUAGGAACGGAUGGGGGCAUUCGUAUUGCGACGUUAGAGGUGAAAUUCU
rnacentral:rRNA from 1 species